rnacentral:rRNA from 2 species
AAAGUUCAAGCGUAUAUCGGAACUAUUGGGCGUAAGCGCGCGUAGGUUGGUUCGUUAGUUGGACGUGAAGCCCCGGGCUCACCUUGGGAACCGCAUCCAAAACCGGCGAGCUAGAGUACGGCAGUGGGUGGUGGAAUCUCCCGUGUAGCGGUGAAUUGCGUAGAUAUAGGAAGGAACACCAGUGGCGAAGGCGACCACCUGGGCUAAUACUGACACUGAGGUGCGAAAGCGUGGGGAGCAAACAGGAUUAGAUACCCUUGGUAGUCCACGCCGUAAACGAUGUCGACUAGCCGUCGGGAUCCUAUGAGAUCUUUAGUGGCGCAGCUAACGCAUUUAAGUCGACCGCCUGGGGAGUACGGCCGCAAGGUUAAAACUCAAUUGAAUAUGACGGGGGCCCGCACAGCGGUGGAGCAUGUGGUUUAAUAUCGAAGCAACGCGAAGAACCUUUACCAGCCUUGACAUGCAGAGACUUCCCAGAGAUGGAUUGGUGCCUUCGGAGCUCUGACACAGUGCUGCAUGGCUGUCGUCAGCUCGUGUCCUGAGAUGUUGGGUUAAGUCCCGUAACGAGCGCAACCCUUGUCUAGUACAGCACGUAGUGGCACUCUAAGAGACUGCGUGACAACCGAGAAAGGGUGGGAUG